rnacentral:misc_RNA from 1 species
GUACCUGAGAUUUUUCUCACAAAUGGCUUACAAACAGGAGCUUUAAAUUAUUGCAGCUCCAAGAAGACUAAAAACUCUGUUGCAACCGUGCUUGUGCAAUGAGCCACAACGCUCAAUAGAUACAAAUCAACAGGUAAAUCAAGCGGAGAUUGAGAUAUUACUGUACAAACUUCCCACGAGCCCCCUUUACUUUGUGCUAGCAUAUACAAAUCCUCUAUAGUUCUAUCUAACAAGCAAGGAAAACAUAUUUCCCAUCACUGAUGGCUCAACUUGCGCUUCUUUGACUCUUUCCUCAACCGCUCCCUCCUUUCUUCUUCUUCUAUCUUCCGGAGUUCUUCUUCAUCCUCUUUCUUUGCUAUUUUCGCACUUCGUUUUUCUUCCCUCAGUAUGUCAUCAAAAUUAGCCUCCAUAUCACUAGUAUCAUCCUCAUCUUGAUACCUGUUGGGAUUAUACCUAAACAUCCUCCUAAUCAUACUAAUAGCUUCUGCUCCAUCUUCUUCUUCUUCAUGUCUCAUCGGCUUUCUUGCAGGGCGCCUAUCUUCCAAAAAACGAAUUGCAUUUUUAGGAGGCAGUUGCUUUAUCUGUUUCUGCAUGAUCAGCUUCUGUUUGUAUGAAGGCUCAGCUUGUUGGGGCAUCACCUUUGAUUUUCCUGAUUGUAGUAUUUCCUUUUUCG